UUGGAGGGCAGUCUGGUGCCAGCAGCCGCGGUAAUUCCAGCUCCAAUAGCGUAUAUUAAAGUUGUUGCAGUUAAAAAGCUCGUAGUUGAAUUUCGGGAUCAGAUUGUCGGUCGUGCCUCGGUACGCACUGGCAUUAUUGGUUCCUACCUUCUGAAGAACCGCGAUGUCAUUAAUUUGGUGUCGUGGGGAAUCAGGACUGUUACUUUGAAAAAAUUAGAGUGUUUAAAGCAGGCUUACGCUUGAAUACAUUAGCAUGGAAUAAUGAAAUAGGACGUUUGAUUCUAUUUUGUUGGUUUCUAGGAUUGACGUAAUGAUUAAUAGGGAUAGUUGGGGGUAUUAGUAUUCAAUUGUCAGAGGUGAAAUUCUUGGAUUUAUUGAAGACUAACUACUGCGAAAGCAUUUGCCAAGGAUGUUUUCAUUAAUCAAGAACGAAAGUUAGGGGAUCGAAGACGAUCAGAUACCGUCGUAGUCUUAACCAUAAACUAUGCCGGCUAGGGAUCGGACGAAGUUAAUUUUAUAAUGACGCGUUCGGCGCCUUACGGGAAAC
rnacentral:rRNA from 1 species